GGGUUGUGAGGUUAAGCGACUAAGCGUACACGGUGGAUGCCCUGGCAGUCAGAGGCGAUGAAGGACGUGCUAAUCUGCGAUAAGCGUCGGUAAGGUGAUAUGAACCGUUAUAACCGGCGAUUUCCGAAUGGGGAAACCCAGUGUGAUUCGUCACACUAUCAUUAACUGAAUCCAUAGGUUAAUGAGGCGAACCGGGGGAACUGAAACAUCUAAGUACCCCGAGGAAAAGAAAUCAACCGAGAUUCCCCCAGUAGCGGCGAGCGAACGGGGAGCAGCCCAGAGCCUGAAUCAGUGUGUGUGUUAGUGGAAGCGUCUGGAAAGGCGUGCGAUACAGGGUGACAGCCCCGUACACAAAAAUGCACAUGCUGUGAGCUCGAUGAGUAGGGCGGGACACGUGGUAUCCUGUCUGAAUAUGGGGGGACCAUCCUCCAAGGCUAAAUACUCCUGACUGACCGAUAGUGAACCAGUACCGUGAGGGAAAGGCGAAAAGAACCCCGGCGAGGGGAGUGAAAAAGAACCUGAAACCGUGUACGUACAAGCAGUGGGAGCACGCUUAGGCGUGUGACUGCGUACCUUUUGUAUAAUGGGUCAGCGACUUAUAUUCUGUAGCAAGGUUAACCGAAUAGGGGAGCCGAAGGGAAACCGAGUCUUAACUGGGCGUUAAGUUGCAGGGUAUAGACCCGAAACCCGGUGAUCUAGCCAUGGGCAGGUUGAAGGUUGGGUAACACUAACUGGAGGACCGAACCGACUAAUGUUGAAAAAUUAGCGGAUGACUUGUGGCUGGGGGUGAAAGGCCAAUCAAACCGGGAGAUAGCUGGUUCUCCCCGAAAGCUAUUUAGGUAGCGCCUCGUGAAUUCAUCUCCGGGGGUAGAGCACUGUUUCGGCAAGGGGGUCAUCCCGACUUACCAACCCGAUGCAAACUGCGAAUACCGGAGAAUGUUAUCACGGGAGACACACGGCGGGUGCUAACGUCCGUCGUGAAGAGGGAAACAACCCAGACCGCCAGCUAAGGUCCCAAAGUCAUGGUUAAGUGGGAAACGAUGUGGGAAGGCCCAGACAGCCAGGAUGUUGGCUUAGAAGCAGCCAUCAUUUAAAGAAAGCGUAAUAGCUCACUGGUCGAGUCGGCCUGCGCGGAAGAUGUAACGGGGCUAAACCAUGCACCGAAGCUGCGGCAGCGACGCUGAUGCGUUGUUGGGUAGGGGAGCGUUCUGUAAGCCUGUGAAGGUGUACUGUGAGGUAUGCUGGAGGUAUCAGAAGUGCGAAUGCUGACAUAAGUAACGAUAAAGCGGGUGAAAAGCCCGCUCGCCGGAAGACCAAGGGUUCCUGUCCAACGUUAAUCGGGGCAGGGUGAGUCGACCCCUAAGGCGAGGCCGAAAGGCGUAGUCGAUGGGAAACAGGUUAAUAUUCCUGUACUUGGUGUUACUGCGAAGGGGGGACGGAGAAGGCUAUGUUGGCCGGGCGACGGUUGUCCCGGUUUAAGCGUGUAGGCUGGUUUUCCAGGCAAAUCCGGAAAAUCAAGGCUGAGGCGUGAUGACGAGGCACUACGGUGCUGAAGCAACAAAUGCCCUGCUUCCAGGAAAAGCCUCUAAGCAUCAGGUAACAUCAAAUCGUACCCCAAACCGACACAGGUGGUCAGGUAGAGAAUACCAAGGCGCUUGAGAGAACUCGGGUGAAGGAACUAGGCAAAAUGGUGCCGUAACUUCGGGAGAAGGCACGCUGAUAUGUAGGUGAAGUCCCUCGCGGAUGGAGCUGAAAUCAGUCGAAGAUACCAGCUGGCUGCAACUGUUUAUUAAAAACACAGCACUGUGCAAACACGAAAGUGGACGUAUACGGUGUGACGCCUGCCCGGUGCCGGAAGGUUAAUUGAUGGGGUCAGCGCAAGCGAAGCUCUUGAUCGAAGCCCCGGUAAACGGCGGCCGUAACUAUAACGGUCCUAAGGUAGCGAAAUUCCUUGUCGGGUAAGUUCCGACCUGCACGAAUGGCGUAAUGAUGGCCAGGCUGUCUCCACCCGAGACUCAGUGAAAUUGAACUCGCUGUGAAGAUGCAGUGUACCCGCGGCAAGACGGAAAGACCCCGUGAACCUUUACUAUAGCUUGACACUGAACAUUGAGCCUUGAUGUGUAGGAUAGGUGGGAGGCUUUGAAGUGUGGACGCCAGUCUGCAUGGAGCCGACCUUGAAAUACCACCCUUUAAUGUUUGAUGUUCUAACGUUGACCCGUAAUCCGGGUUGCGGACAGUGUCUGGUGGGUAGUUUGACUGGGGCGGUCUCCUCCUAAAGAGUAACGGAGGAGCACGAAGGUUGGCUAAUCCUGGUCGGACAUCAGGAGGUUAGUGCAAUGGCAUAAGCCAGCUUGACUGCGAGCGUGACGGCGCGAGCAGGUGCGAAAGCAGGUCAUAGUGAUCCGGUGGUUCUGAAUGGAAGGGCCAUCGCUCAACGGAUAAAAGGUACUCCGGGGAUAACAGGCUGAUACCGCCCAAGAGUUCAUAUCGACGGCGGUGUUUGGCACCUCGAUGUCGGCUCAUCACAUCCUGGGGCUGAAGUAGGUCCCAAGGGUAUGGCUGUUCGCCAUUUAAAGUGGUACGCGAGCUGGGUUUAGAACGUCGUGAGACAGUUCGGUCCCUAUCUGCCGUGGGCGCUGGAGAACUGAGGGGGGCUGCUCCUAGUACGAGAGGACCGGAGUGGACGCAUCACUGGUGUUCGGGUUGUCAUGCCAAUGGCACUGCCCGGUAGCUAAAUGCGGAAGAGAUAAGUGCUGAAAGCAUCUAAGCACGAAACUUGCCCCGAGAUGAGUUCUCCCUGACUCCUUGAGAGUCCUGAAGGAACGUUGAAGACGACGACGUUGAUAGGCCGGGUGUGUAAGCGCAGCGAUGCGUUGAGCUAACCGGUACUAAUGAACCGUGAGGCUUAACCUUACAACGCCGAAGGUGUUU
rnacentral:rRNA from 1 species